GACCCGGUAGUGUAGUGGUUAACACGCCUGAAAACGCAGCAAGUAGGAGAAAGAGCUGUGAAGGAAGCUUGGGUUCAAAUCCUAACUGGGGGC